CAUUGAAACACCGGUUCCCAUACAUCGACGUUAAGCAACCUCGAUUCUGGUCAGUACUUAGAUGGGUGACCGUUUGGGAAAUCCAGGUGC